rnacentral:rRNA from 1 species
ACUCAAAGGAAUAGACGGGGGCCCGCACAAGCGGCGGAGCGUGCGGUUUAAUUCGAAGCGACGCGAAGAACCUUACCAGGGUUUGACAUGCUCCUGCAUUACCGGGAAACCGGGAGGCCUUCGAGGGUGGAGCACAGGUGCUGCAUGGCUGUCGUCAGCUCGUGCCGUGAGGUGUUGGGUUAAGUCCCGCAACGAGCGCAACCCCCGUGGCUAGUUACGAUGUCUAGCCAGACAGCCCCGCAAGGGGAGGAAGGAGGGGAUGACGUCAAGUCAGCAUGGCCCUUACAUCCUGGGCGACACGCACGCUACAAUGGCCGGGACAGAGGGCAGCCAACCCGCGAGGGGGAGCGAAUCCCAGAAACCCGGUCCCAGUUCAGAUUGCGGGCUGCAACUCGCCCGCAUGAAGGUGGAGUCGCUAGUAACCGCAGGUCAGCAGUACUGCGGUGAAUAUGUUCCCGGGCCUUGCACACACCGCCCGU